AUUGAACGCUGGCGGCAUGCUUUACACAUGCAAGUCGAACGGUAACAGGCCGCAAGGUGCUGACGAGUGGCGAACGGGUGAGUAAUGCAUCGGAACGUGCCCAGUCGUGGGGGAUAACGCAGCGAAAGCUGCGCUAAUACCGCAUACGAUCUAUGGCUGAAAGCGGGGGACCGGAAGGCCUCGCGCGCUUGGAGCGGCCGAUGUCAGAUUAGGUAGUUGGUGGGGGAAAGGCUCACCAAGCCAACGAUCUGUAGCUGGUCUGAGAGGAAGACCAGCCACACUGGGACUGAGACACGGCCCAGACUCCUACGGGAGGCAGCAGUGGGGAAUUUUGGACAAUGGGCGCAAGCCUGAUCCAGCAAUGCCGCGUGCAGGAAGAAGGCCUUCGGGUUGUAAACUGCUUUUGUACGGAACGAAACGGUCCUGGUUAAUACCUGGGGCUAAUGACGGUACCGUAAGAAUAAGCACCGGCUAACUACGUGCCAGCAGCCGCAGUAAAAC
rnacentral:rRNA from 1 species